rnacentral:tRNA from 1 species
UGUGGCUCAGUGGUAGAGCACUUGCCUGGCAUGUGUGAGGCCCUGGGUUCAAUCCUCAGCA